AUUGAACGCUGGCGGCAGGCUUAACACAUGCAAGUCGAGCGGAUGAAGGGAGCUUGCUCGUGGAGUCAGCGGCGGACGGGUGAGUGAUUCCUAGGAAUCUGCCUGGCUGUGGGGUAUAACGGCCGGAAACGGGCGCUAAUACCGCAUACGUCCGGAGGCAGAAAGUGGGGGAGUGUCGGACCUCUUGCUAGCAUAUGAGCCUAGGUCGGAUUAGGUAGUUGGUGGGGUAAGGGCCGGCCAAGGCGACGAUCCGCAACUGGUCUGAGCGGAUGGUAAGUCCCCCUAGAGCUGAGCCGCGGUCCAGACUCCUGCGGGACGCAGCAGUGGGGAAUAUUAGACAGAGGGCGGGAGCAUGAUCCAGCCCAGCCGAGUGUGUGGAGAAAGUCUUCCGAUUGUAAAGCACUUCAAGUUGGGAGGAAGGGCAGUAAGUUAAUACCUUGCUGUUUUGACGUUACCAACAGAAUAAGCACCGGCUAACUUCGUG
rnacentral:rRNA from 1 species